UGCUUCUCCUGGAAUCUGUACAGUGAAGCCAUCACGCUGCUGAACAAGACCAUAGAGAAACAGAGAGACGCAAGUGAGCUGUUCAUCAACAGAGGAGGUGUGGACUGAGAAAUAAAGAGGAACUACCAGGAAGCAGCAGACAAGUUUUCUGUUGCUAUAAGGUACAACCCUGGUGAAGUUCAUUACUAUGAGAAUCGAGCCAAAGCUUAUAGCAAAGUGGCCAAAAUGGAGGAGGCCAGGAUGGAUGCCAUCAGAGUCCUUAUCUUGGAGCCCACCAAUGAUCAGGGGUUGCCUUUGCUGUCAAGUCUGCUCCCAGGAUGCUCCUUGACAGAUAUUAUGUCCUGUGCCACUGCACACUCAGUCAAAACCCAGCUGACAGCAAAGAUUCAGGCUUUCAAACAAGCAGUCUCCAACUUGUCAAGGAUUGGCAGGAUGGCCCUUGCCAAGGAGGAGAGUCAGUCACAAACAUCCUCACAGAAGUUACAGGCUGACGAUGGUUCAGAGCAGAUAAUGAAGCCAUGCAUCACUUCAAGAGAGGUGCAAUGCAAGCUAGUCAAGAGAAAACAACAGGUAGACAUGUGCCAGAUCUACACAUAAAAUUGUUUGCUACUGGUGUUGUAAAUACUGACCAAUACAGUGAUAGAGAGCCACAUUACAACCCCAUCUCAUGAAAGUGCAUAUAAAAACCAUGAGUUUCUUUUUCUAUUUGGGGUGUGUGUGAUAUUAUAUGCAUGCCAAACACGUGAAUAUCAUAUGCACGCCAAAGUCAUUGAAGACAUGAGACAUGAUCAUUGAAAUUUUUGGAAUCAGUAAUAUAUUUUUUAUAAUAUAGUUUUUAUUUCCCAAGGUAGUGUUUAGCAGUUUAAAACUGAUAAUACAAAUUAUUAAUAUUUGAAAUGACUGUUGUAUAUUUUAAUCUUUAACCGUAAAGGCAAAGCACCAUUUUUCCAGUCUUCUUAGAAAAGCUAUUACCUCAUCCGGAAGAAAUUAUUUAAAAGUGCUAAUUUAGUACUACAGAAUUUUUUUUUAAAUAAUCUUAGCACAGUUUGAAAUGCCUUCACUUCUUGAAAGUGC
ensembl:lncRNA